rnacentral:rRNA from 1 species
CCUACGGGAGGCAGCAGUGGGGAAUAUUGGACAAUGGGCGAAAGCCUGAUCCAGCCAUGCCGCGUGUGUGAAGAAGGUCUUCGGAUUGUAAAGCACUUUAAGUUGGGAGGAAGGGCAGUAAAUUAAUACUUUGCUGUUUUGACGUUACCGACAGAAUAAGCACCGGCUAACUCUGUGCCAGCAGCCGCGGUAAUACAGAGGGUGCAAGCGUUAAUCGGAAUUACUGGGCGUAAAGCGCGCGUAGGUGGUUUGUUAAGUUGGAUGUGAAAUCCCCGGGCUCAACCUGGGAACUGCAUUCAAAACUGACAAGCUAGAGUAUGGUAGAGGGUGGUGGAAUUUCCUGUGUAGCGGUGAAAUGCGUAGAUAUAGGAAGGAACACCAGUGGCGAAGGCGACCACCUGGACUGAUACUGACACUGAGGUGCGAAAGCGUGGGGAGCAAAACGAGGUAUUAGACUACCCGUGGUACGUCCACGACCGUAAACGNUGUACAACUAGCCGUUGGGAGUCCUUGUAGCUCUUAGUGGCGC